AGGUGUCAGGGUCCGGGGUGGCGUACCUUUUUUGUCCACAGGGAGCAACUGUGAGCAAAGUGGCAGAGUGCAGAAGGCCCAGGUGCGACUCAUCAGGCUCGUUAGAGGAGAGCUCUUAAGGAGCAUGCUUUUGCUGUCAACUACUCGUCGCCUGGUGUCCCUUCGUUGUGAUCUUCGCCACGGUUGUGCCUCUAGCUCCUCGCUCAUAGUUCUUGCCUUGCUCUCCGACGCCAGGUUCUUCAGAUCCUCUGGUUCGCAAUCCACCCCGUCCUGGCUGAACUCCUCAUGCUCCGCCACUGCUGCCCGGCUCCGUGCUCCUGGCUCCGAUCAUCCCGCUCUACCUCCAUCGCAGCUCCUCCAAUAAACACUCCUCACUCAUUCUGGAAGUCUGAGUUGUUUUUUUUGCAUGUGGGUCAAAUCGAUCGCUAAAACGAUGACAGAACACUCAGGCCUUUCAGACCCAGCAAAGCCACUCAGACGCACCCUCGCAGAACAGCAAUACUAACUCCAAUCCCACGAGUCCACUCUCCAAGCCCUCCUGGAGCAACAGCAGCGAACCAACGAUCAGCUGGAACAAAUGACCAAAUUGCUUCAAAACACCCAGGUCAAAGAAACCCCCUUGCCCCCAGCUGGCGCCUCAAGCUCCUCAGUAUCCGCCAAGUCUGCACUUUGGCGAGGUUUGUUCCCCUCAUCCAGAGAAGUUCUCCGGAGAAGGUGGUAAUUGCGGAGGUUUCCUCCUGCAGUGUUCACUAGUUUUUAAUCGAUCGCCACAGUCUUUUUCCCACGACGGAGCUAAGAUCUCGUUUGUUUUGGGACUCCUCACGGGCAAGGCGCUGUGAUGGGCAGAAGCCCGAUUUUCUGACUGCAGGCAUUUUGGCUGUUCUUAUGAUGAGUUUUUUUUAAAGGAAUUUAAGCAGAUCUUUUCAACCGAGACCGGUCAGACCGGUGUCUCUCGCCGGUUGUGGGGGUUAGGCAAGGGAACAGCACCGUGUCAGAUUUCUCUAUUGAGUUUCGGACGUUAGCAGCUGCGUCCGGGUGGGGCCCUGUAGCGUUGAAAACGUUUUUUUUUCAAGCCUUAAAUGAGUCCUUAAAGGACAAACUGGCAGUCUUGGAAGAACCAGGGACUUUGGAUGACCUGAUUUCCCUGGCCAUUAGGUUGGACAAUCGAAUUAGGCAGAGACGGAGGAGCUCCCGGUGGGAGCGGACGGAGGAGAGAUCACAGUCUUUUUUAACCAGGCCCAGUCCGCCCAGGCGAUCGCCUAGCCAGUCCUCUCCAGGACCCGAGGCCAUGCAGAUUGGCCGGGCCCGACUCUCCCCGGAGGAGCUGCAGCGGCGCCGCGAGUCCCGACAGUGUCUGUACUGCGGCUCCCCGGAUCAUUUCAUUGCCUACUGUCCAGUUCGGCCAAGAGGAGCGGGUCCGAUGGUCUUGAAGGGAGGACCGCCGGACCAGCCAACAAGUAUUAAGUCUCCUCGCUUCUCCCUACCCGCCAUGAUGUCUGUGCACAACCAUUACUACAAGCUAUCCGUGCUUGUCGACUCGGGGUGCGAGAGAAACUUGAUCGACCAAGAAUUCGUCUCCCGAGCCAAAGUCGAGACGGAGCCUCUCCCUACGCCUCUCGCUGUCUCUGCCUUGGAUGGGAGAGGGCUCUCUAGCAUAACCCAACACACCAGACCCGUGGAGCUAGUCAUCGCUGGCAACCAUCGUGAAGUCAUUUCCUUUUAUAUCUUCCCCGUAAGACAGUCAGCCCUCGUUCUUGGUUUCCCCUGGCUCCAGAGACACAACCCUCAGGUCAACUAGUAAGAAUGCCAUAUCGAGUCCUGGUCCACGACAUGCUUGUCCUCUUGUCUUCAGUCUGCCGUGCCAUCUCGCCUGCCCCUAGUAGCACCCGAGGAACCUGGUCCGAUCGAUCUGUCACAAGUGCCCAGUGAAUACCAUGACCUAAGACAAGUUUUUAACAAGAGCAAGGCUUCAUCUCUACCAC